rnacentral:rRNA from 1 species
AACGAACGUUGGCGGCGUGGAUUAGGCAUGCAAGUCGUACGAGUUUCAUCUGGGUAACUGGAUGACAAAAGUGGCGAAAGGGUCAGUAAGGCAUGGAUAAUCUACCCUGAUGACCGGGAUAGCUGUCCCAACGUGCGGGUAAUACCGGAUGAGCUGGUGGGGCCGCAUGGUUCUGCCGGGAAGGGCGCGAGCCGUGUCGGGAGGACUCCGUGUGAUAUUAGCUCGUUGGUGAGGUGAAGGCUCACCAAGUCGAAGAUGUCUAGCGGGUGCGUGAUCACGACCCGCGCCACAGGCACAGAGACAUUGGCCACACUCCUACGGGGGGCUGCAGUGGAGGAUAUACGGCAAUGGGCGAAGGCGUGACCGAGCGAAGCCGCGUGAGCGAUGAAGGCGAUUAGGUUGUAAAGCCCUGUCGAGGGGGAACCAGCCGCAAGGUGGAGUGAUCCCUGGAGGAAGCACGGGCUAAGUUCGUG